rnacentral:rRNA from 1 species
GACGAACGCUGGCGGCGUGCCUAAUACAUGCCAGUUGAGCGCUGAAGGUUGGUACUUGUACCAACUGGAUGAGCAGCGAACGGGUGAGUAACGCGUGGGGAAUCUGCCUUUGAGCGGGGGACAACAUUUGGAAACGAAUGCUAAUACCGCAUAAAAACUUUAAACACAAGUUUUAAGUUUGAAAGAUGCAAUUGCAUCACUCAAAGAUGAUCCCGCGUUGUAUUAGCUAGUUGGUGAGGUAAAGGCUCACCAAGGCGAUGAUACAUAGCCGACCUGAGAGGGUGAUCGGCCACAUUGGGACUGAGACACGGCCCAAGCUCCUACGGGAGGCAGCAGUAGGGAAUCUUCGGCAAUGGACGAAAGUCUGACCGAGCAACGCCGCGUGAGGGAAGAAGGUUGUCGGAUCGUAAAACUCUGUUGGUAGAGAAGAACGUUGGUGAGAGUGGAAAGCUCAUCAAGUGACGGUAACUACCCAGAAAGGGACGGCUAACUACGUG